rnacentral:lncRNA from 1 species
UUCAAUACAUUAUACCAACAAACGUCACAACUAAUUAUUACUCUACCAUCCAGAUGAUGAGUCACAGGAAUAGGAAGUGUAUGAACAAUAUAGCAUAGCUUAUAUGUGCACAGUAAGUCACGCAUGAAGCGAGUUUACAUAACCAAUACAACUCAUUCAAUCGGGACUAUUGAUUAUGGAAGCACAGAAGUCGAGUUUGUAAAGUGCCCAAUUCACCUGCAGAGAGGGGCAAUCUCGGGCAAGCCCACAUAGACCAUUCCAUCUACAUGGUAGAGAUCAGGUGCACAAUGUAAGAAUGCCUGAUGGUGUGGGGCUCGCCUCUAUAACCCAACAUACUUGACCUCCCUCCAACAGCCUCUUGAGUUCACCAAUCUACAACAAAACCAGCCCCAUAAGAGCACAUAAUCACACCAAAUGGCAAGGUAAGUAUUCCCUGGCAAGUACUGGACCAGAAAACUCUGACUGGAGCUACAUGAUAUUAGAUGCAACUUUUCAUCUCAACCAUAUGCGAAUACUGAUGGAAGAUGCAGUACUUAUUAGGCACAUGUAGAAUGAGGUAUCAAAAGAGCAAGUGGUACAGAAAAGAAGUGAACACAACAUGAUAAAAGAGGGCAAAGUGUUAUGGCAGACCUUUUAUUUUCAAAGAGUUGAUGAGCUGGAGACCAUAUAAUUUUGAAGGUCUAACCAACUGUGCAUACCAUGGUUUCAUGGUUGGAAUUCUCUAAGCAUUAUAAGUGUGGUCAAUAUAAAAUUGUAGAGCACUUGCAACCAAGAAAAACAUGUAAACAUGACCCAAACAAUAUAAAAGUAGAUCCGACCUCACCAAUUGAAUCUCAAACCCUGGUAACAUUCUUAAAACAAUAAAUCGUUUACAAUAUAUUGCAAUUUGAACCACUAAUUGUUUCGAACAUUAGGCAAUUUCUUAGAGCACUCCCAUAUCAAUUUGAAUCACUAAUUUAUGUUGUGUGAUGGGAGACACUGAUUUAGAAGAUAUAACAAUGUUUGAUUUGAAAUCAUAUAUGCUAAGGCAUCACAUCAACACAAGUAAGGCCUGGGCAGUUUCUACUUGGUUCCAAUGCUCAAAACUCUCACACAAUAAACAACACAAUGCUUGUUAGCAGCUAAAGGCUCUCCCGAAAAGAAGGAAAAAAAACAUUGCUACAUGAUCUUACAUUCAUAGGCAUCAUAUGCAUGUGCAGAGUAUCUUAUAAGUUGUACAAAACAAACAACAACACACUACAGUAGAUACGCAUGCGCAAUGAGACCCCAAGCUAUAGGACCGGUAGCUUGGUUUAAGUUACUUUGAGGAAAAAGACAUCCGGUUCUUCGCCUCAAAAUGAUUUGCCUGUAUGAAUAUCAAAAUAUGGUUCUGAAACCAUGGUACUUAACUGGUUAGUACGUUUUAUCAUCAUAUUAAUUCAGUUGCUCUGAGAAUGCAAAAGGGUAACUAAUAACUGGAAGAACCAUAUAUUCGGCUUCCGCCAUGUCAAUGUUUAAUUGAUUGGGCCAUAUACAAGCCUUUUACCACGCCUGUUCCUUUAUUUUGCUUCAGGGUAGACAGGAAUGCCAUAAACGUGUGCGUAGCACUGUUAGCUAAGGAAGGGAAACAGAGGCUAGGCGUGGUAUUUAUCAGCGAUUCCGGUAUCUAAACCAGAAAUCCAUAAUAUCUGUAAGACCAAAUCAACUAAACCGCAUGUCCGCAUGUGUAUUAUUUAACCAUGCGGAAGUUUCUUUUAAAAAUGCACUUUCAACAAAAUAAUUAAUGGACCAUCACACGUACUGAUCGUUAUCAGAAUCAGAAAUUCCGACAGACUUCACCAAGGUGCAGCUAGGAGGAUCAGAAAGUCCAACAGAAAGAUCACCCGGAUAUAAAAUCGAAAGGUCUUGGACAGCAGCAAUAGUUCAAUCAUAAACUGAGCUAUUUAUGAUUGAAACUGCAAUCUAACUAUUCUGAUAUGAUGGCAGUCAAAACUAAAUUACUAUUAGUCAAUCAUGAACUAUAUGCACUACAUAGAUACCCUGAGAAUGUACAUACAGGUGCGACAGAUUGGUAAUAUAAUAAGGUGAGGAAGAAACAUGCUACCAAGUCCGUGGCAGCCUGCAUUGUAACAUGAUCACCUCACUGUCCAUCUCUAGUUGGUUCAGUAAUAAGCAUAGAAAUGUAAGGACAGUUCAUCCUUCCACUCUAAUUGAUAAAUAUUUACUGGUAAAUAAAUAGUGAAAAGGAGCAGGCACUGACUUUGGCAUCUUCUUAAGAUAUUCUCUGUAAUCCAUAGGGACAUAUCCAGUAUAUACCUCAUGAUGAGCCAAUGAGAUCCAAGCUGUGAAUGAAAAUACACUAAUGUGAGAACAAAGGAUCUGACAAGGAUUUUUUUUCAUCUUCUCCGGUAACAACAGAAAAAAGAUACACCCAAUUCUUGUAGACGUAUAUAUCUAGCAAUUAAAAUCAUUCUUACGGUUACUGUGAGAAGGACCCUGAUAAAAGUAGCCACUUUGAUAAUACUAACCUGCUUCACCAGCUGUUGCCGUACAAAUAUACGGUGUUCAGGAGUUCGGUAAAAUUGAACAAACGCCCAAAACUGUUUAAAAUGGAGAUUUGGAAAGAGGUAAGUACUUGCAGAGUAAGUUUUGUACUGAAUACCAAACAUGCUAUUCUCAAAAUGUAAACAGAAAAUCAAAUCCCAUAAAUAAACCUGACAAUUGCCGUCUCCGUUGAAUUUUGAGCUCAACCAAGCCGUACAACACCAACCUAAGUAAGAGAUCUAUAUUGGAAUAAAAUGACAAACAAUCAGAAAAACCUAACACAUAGCACAGAAAAUUGUGUGCAGAUUUAUGAGACAAAUUAUAUUUACUGAUGCUUAAAACAACUAUAUAUUCACUCAAAUGAUGUUCAGUACAGUAUCAUCAAAAAGGUAUUAGUAACAGGUUCAUAAGACUAAUGCCGGAAGACAUGCAAGUGAACGAGUUUCUUGAUCAUCGAUGGGCGGGACCGACAAAUGUGGCUGGUUCAAGUAGGAGGGAGCUUACACCGGCAUUCUCAGGAGGCGUGAAGCAGCUGCUAGGUGCGCCCAAGCACCGGAAAGGCAAGGAAUCAUCAACCAUGGUUUCCCUUGUGCCACAAAUGAAACAAAAAAAAUCCGUAAAUACUUCUGUUGCAAAGAGACUGUAUCUACAUUAGUAUAUGUGCAGAUGACUAUUUCCUUAUAUCACAUCAUAUCAACUCAAUCCAAUAAUUUCAAAUCCAAAUGAUGUGAGGCACACCAUUGUUUACGACAGAAGUUUAAAUCAUUCCCUUACUUUGAAAGAAUUUAGUUAUCAUUAAAAACACUUCUCAAAAAUCUGAAGCUCGCCCUCGUCUAUUGUAUUAUCUAUCCCUCAUAUCCACUUGUAUAUUAUUUAUCCCAGCACAUGUUACAUCAAUGAAUAUCAGUCAUCGAGAUAACUUCAGUACCAAUAAAGUUCAAAUAGACAAAUUCAGCACCUAAAUGAUAGAUAUAAGUUCAGAUUGUUUAAUGAACCUUUACAUUGCACUUUUUAUCCCUAGGUAAAAUGAAACAUCUGUACGAAGUAGACUCUCUUCAUCGGAUAUAAGCAAGUGACACAAGAAUCUGACCUUGCAGAUACUUGCUAUGGUCAAGUGGAUCUGAAGAUUACACAGUUUGUCAUCACCUCAUAUAGUCUUGAUCCAACUGCUGGUGUACCUCGUCACCUUCGAGCCAGUACCCACCAGGCGGCGAC